rnacentral:lncRNA from 1 species
CGGUUUCAAAUGUAUCCAUUUAUUUUAUUUUAUUUUUUAUUAUUUUUAUUUAAAUGUUAAUACGUUUAAUCUUCUUCUCUAUCAUUUCACAAUCCAAACCUGCAAAAAAAAAAUCACAAUAACCCAAACCAAAAAUCCAUUGAAAACAUAUUUCACACUAAAAUCUUUCUUUUAUUUGGAUAGGGAUAAUGCGGAGAACAAAAUAAUUGAAAUGAGAAUCCGUCGACGUGUUGUUGUGGUUGUCCAUUGAAUCACACUAAAAUCUUUUAUUUUGAUUCUUCUCCGGUCGACUUGUUGUUGGUGUUGUUGUUGUCCAGUUUUCUCUUUUCAUUGAUUGUUGUAUUUUGUUCAUGGUAGUUCCUGUCCACUAAUUUAAACCGAUUAAACAAUACAAACUCAGAUUCAAUAUACCCAGAUUUGAAACCCAAUUAAAAAUGAUUUAGAUCUGGAAAAACCUGUAACAAAAAUUGAAUCUUGCGAGAAAGACAUAGCAUGAUAAUGGGUCAAAU